GCCUGAUGGCGGCCUCCAGACACCCAGAGGGGGACUGAUCCUCAUCUGCAAGGCCUCAGGGUCCACCAUCAGCAGUUAUUCCAUGUAUUGGGUGCGACAGGCGCCCGUCAAGGGGCUGGAAUACGUCGCCACUAUUAGCUACACUGGUAGUUACACAUACUACGGGUCGGCGGUGAAGAACCGUGCCACCAUCUCGAGGGACAACGGGCAGAGCACGGUGAGCCUGAAGCUGAACAGCCUGACGACCGACGACACCGCCACCUAUUACUGCGCGAAAAGUGCUUACGGUUGUAGUUGGGCUGGUAGCGUUAAUUACACCGGUGUCACUCCUGGAUUUGGUGGCAUCGCCCAGGGCCCUGGUUGA